AAAUAGAUACCCUGGUAGUCCACGCCGUAAACGAUGAGUGCUAAGUGUUAGAGGGUUUCCGCCCUUUAGUGCUGAAGUCAACGCAUUAAGCACUCCGCCUGGGGAGUACGGUCGCAAGACUGAAACUCAAAGGAAUUGACGGGGGCCCGCACAAGCGGUGGAGCAUGUGGUUUAAUUCGAAGCAACGCGAAGAACCUUACCAGGUCUUGACAUCCUCUGACACUCCUAGAGAUAGGACGUUCCCUUCGGGGACAGAGUGACAGGUGGUGCAUGGUUGUCGUCAGCUCGUGUCGUGAGAUGUUGGGUUAAGUCCCGCAACGAGCGCAACCCUUGAUCUUAGUUGCCAGCAUUCAGUUGGGCACUCUAAGGUGACUGCCGGUGACAAACCGGAGGAAGGUGGGGAUGACGUCAAAUCAUCAUGCCCCUUAUGACCGUGGGCUACACACGUGCUACAAUGGAUGGUACGUAAAGGGCAGCGAAACCGCGUAGGUUAAGCCAACUCCCUAAUAAAACCUACUUCUCAGUUCGGAUUGCGNGCGUGACCG
rnacentral:rRNA from 1 species